rnacentral:rRNA from 1 species
UUAUCAUUUAGAGGAAGAGAAGUCGUAACAAGGUUUCAGUAGGUGACCUGCGGAAGGAUCAUUGUCGAGACCCAACCACAAACGACCGCGAACCCGUGAACCAAGUAUGCCGCCUCUCCGGCUCGUCCGGGCGGCGCCGUGCGCCCCGUCCCGACCCAUCCCCAACGGUGCCGGUCGGGYGGGCGGGCGGACUACGAACCCCCGGCGCAACGGGCGCCAAGGAACACAAACCUCGGGGGCAGCACACGGGGCCCCAUGCGGCCUCCGGAGCACCCCCGACGAUGCACUAUCAGCAUAACCCCUGAACGACUCUCGGCAACGGAUAUCUCGGCUCUCGCAUCGAUGAAGAACGUAGCGAAAUGUGAUAUUUGGUGUGAAUUGCAGAAUCCCGUGAACCAUCGAGUCUUUGAACGCAAGUUGCGCCCGAGGCCUUGUGGCCGAGGGCACGCCUGCCUGGGCGUCACACCAUCGACGCUCCAAGCCCGCCCCCCUCGCCGAGGAGUGCGGGACACGGACGCGGAAGCUGGCCCCCCACGCCCUCGCGCGUGGCCGGCCGAAGACACGGCUGCCGGGUCCCCGCGGGACACGAUUGGUGGUGGACGCCUUCGAGCGAGACGAACAUCGUGCCCCCGGGCCCGUGCGCGCAGCCUCACGCAGACCCCAUCAUCGGACCGCGACCCCAGGUCAGGCGGGGCCACCCGCUGAGUUUAAGCAUAU